rnacentral:rRNA from 1 species
AGCAGUAGCCGCGGUAAUACGGGGGGGGCAAGUGUUAUUCGGAAUGACUGGGCGUAAAGGGCACGUAGGCGGUGAAAAGGGUGGAAAGUGAAAGUCGCCAAAACACUGGCGGGGUGCUUUCUUGACCAUUUCACUUGAGUGAGAUAGGGGAGAGUGGAAUUUCGUGUGGAGGGAUCAAAUCCUAAGAUAUACGAAGGAACGCCAACCGCGAAGGCAGCUCUCUGGGUCCCCACUGACGCUGGGGUGCGAAAGCAUGGGGAGCAAACAGGAUCAGAUACCCCCGUAGUCCCUGUCUCUUAUACA